CUACGGGGCGCAGCAGUGGGGAAUCUUGGACAAUGGGCGCAAGCCUGAUCCAGCCAUGCCGCGUGAGUGAAGAAGGCCUUAGGGUCGUAAAGCUCUUUCGCCAGAGAUGAUAAUGACAGUAUCUGGUAAAGAAACCCCGGCUAACUCCGUGCCAGCAGCCGCGGUAAUACGGAGGGGGUUAGCGUUGUUCGGAAUUACUGGGCGUAAAGCGCGCGUAGGCGGAUUAGUCAGUCAGAGGUGAAAUCCCAGGGCUCAACCCUGGAACUGCCUUUGAUACUGCUAGUCUUGAGUUCGAGAGAGGUGAGUGGAAUUCCGAGUGUAGAGGUGAAAUUCGUAGAUAUUCGGAGGAACACCAGUGGCGAAGGCGGCUCACUGGCUCGAUACUGACGCUGAGGUGCGAAAGUGUGGGGAGCAAACAGGAUUAGAUACCCUCGUAGUC
rnacentral:rRNA from 1 species